AAAUUGAAGAGUUUGAUCAUGGCUCAGAUUGAACGCUGGCGGCAGGCCUAACACAUGCAAGUCGAACGGUAACAGGAAGAAGCUUGCUUCUUUGCUGACGAGUGGCGGACGGGUGAGUAAUGUCUGGGAAGCUGCCUGAUGGAGGGGGAUAACUACUGGAAACGGUAGCUAAUACCGCAUAAUGUCGCAAGACCAAAGAGGGGGACCUUC
rnacentral:rRNA from 1 species